GUACCUGGAUGAGGCCGAGAGAGAGAAGCAGCAGUACAUGAAGGAGCUGCGGGCGUACCAGCAGUCUGAAGCCUAUAAGAUGUGCACGGAGAAGAUCCAGGAGAAGAAGAUCAAGAAAGAAGACUCGAGCUCUGGGCUCAUGAACACUCUCCUGAAUGGACACAAGGUAAGCGACCUUCCUCCUCUCAAAGCACCUGGGGGAGAAAGGUCUGGAGGCUUCUAGAACCCUGAGUCAGAGCCAGUGCUCGCCCAGAUGUGUGCAAGCAGGGGCGGUGCCGCUGCACCGUGGGGACGCUGUUGAUUGUACUCCCACCGGGGUGUCCCAGGAGACCCUCCUAGGCUUGGGGCACACCCAGAAAGAGCGUGGCUGCCUUCUACCACCAGUAAAUUGCCACCUUGUCCCUUCGUCUUAGGGUGGGGACUGCGAUGGCUUCUCCACCUUCGAUGUUCCCAUCUUCACUGAAGAGUUCUUGGACCAAAACAAAGCGCGCGAGGCGGAGCUUCGGCGCUUGCGGAAGAUGAAUGUGGCCUUCGAGGAGCAGAACGCGGUACUGCAGAGGCACACGCAGAGCAUGAGCAGCG
rnacentral:sRNA from 1 species